rnacentral:rRNA from 1 species
GUGGGGAAUAUUGGACAAUGGGCGCAAGCCUGAUCCAGCCAUGCCGCGUGGGUGAAGAAGGCCUUCGGGUUGUAAAGCCCUUUUGUCCGGAAAGAAAAGCACGGGAUUAAUACCCUCGUGUGAUGACGGUACCGGAAGAAUAAGCACCGGCUAACUUCGUGCCAGCAGCCGCGGUAAUACGAAGGGUGCAAGCGUUACUCGGAAUUACUGGGCGUAAAGCGUGCGUAGGUGGUUUGUUAAGUCUGUCGUGAAAUCCCCGGGCUCAACCUGGGAAUGGCGAUGGAUACUGGCAAGCUAGAGUGAGGUAGAGGAGAGUGGAAUUCCCGGUGUAGCAGUGAAAUGCGUAGAGAUCGGGAGGAACAUCAGUUGCGAAGGCGGCUCUCUGGACCAUCACUGACACUGAGGCACGAAAGCGUGGGGAGCAAACAGGAUUAGAUACCCGAGUAGUCC